rnacentral:misc_RNA from 1 species
UGAGAGCGGAGCUGAUGGAA